rnacentral:lncRNA from 1 species
GAAAAACUACCCCAGGCAGAGAAAGAACCAUGCAGACACAGAGUGGGGGAGAAGUGAGGAGAAUAACAGACAGUGAGAGGAGGAAGGAGAAGGAAGAAGUAGAAGGUAAAAGGAAGAAGAGAGGAAGAGAGAGAACUCACCUGGUGCUUUCUAGAAAGAGAAAAAAGUUUAAUGCAAGAAGAGAUGAGGUGGGGAUGGUCCAUGAAGAUGAAUGACUGCUUCCUAAGACACUGUGGCGAGGAGGCUGUGGAAAGAUGGCAGCAGCAGACUGUGGAGAGAAGUCAAUUCACUGUGAGUGGUCAGACAAUACCUGAACCAAGAAGACACAUGGGACAACCUCUUGGGAACAGAAAGUUCAGAAAAGGGCUAAGAAAUAGGAUGGAGAUAGGGAUACUCAAUGAUCUAGUCAUAAGGGAUCAAAAUGGGAAUGCAAUUAGGAAGUAGAAGGCCUGAGAUAGACAGCAGCCACUGGGAUUGGAAGCAAUUUUAGGAUGAUUUCCCAAAGGGUAGAGAUGUUCCAACAAUAGCUUGAUGAUAAAUUUUGUAUUUUUUCAGGGCAGCUUGGCACUUCCCCAGGUAAUCCAUUCUCAGAGUUUCUGUUCAAUCAAAAACUGUAGCUUCUUUGGUUUAGGAGUUUCCUGAGCCUGUCUCAGGGCAAUAACGCCUUCUGGGUUAACUGGAGACUUCGUCAGAGACAGAUGGGAGCUAACUCCAAAGAGUCAUCAUGAUAACUGCGGUUGUUCAGAUUCUUUAUUUCUGGGCAUCACAUAGAAUUUAGAUUGGGACUCCUUUUCUAUCUAACUGAGGGAUGGGAAUCAUAAUUGCAUAUUUAAUUUUGUCAUUAGAAAUGAUAAUAAACUCAUUGCCAUUAUACCACAUGGUUUAAAAAUAAUCUGUUAGAGCAUUUGUUUCUUGUUGUUCAAUGUAACCAACCUUAUUAAAGACCUUGUAUCAACAGUGUUGUUUUGUUUUGUGGCAUAAUUAAAAUCAUAUUUCUGACUUGUGUAACGUAUAAACAC